AGUCAAUAGAUACCCUGGUAGUCCACGCCGUAAACGAUGAGUACUAGGUGUAGGAGGUAUCGACUCCUUCUGUGCCGCAGUUAACACAAUAAGUACUCCGCCUGGGAAGUACGGUCGCAAGAUUAAAACUCAAAGGAAUUGACGGGGGCCCGCACAAGCAGCGGAGCAUGUGGUUUAAUUCGAAGCAACGCGAAGAACCUUACCUAGACUUGACAUCUCCUGAAUAGCGCAGAGAUGCGUGAAGCCCUUCGGGGCAGGAAGACAGGUGGUGCAUGGUUGUCGUCAGCUCGUGUCGUGAGAUGUUGGGUUAAGUCCCGUAACGAGCGCAACCCCUAUUAUUAGUUGCUACCAUUAAGUUGAGCACUCUAAUGAGACUGCCCGGGUUAACCGGGAGGAAGGCGGGGAUGACGUCAAAUCAUCAUGCCCCUUAUGUCUAGGGCUACACACGUGCUACAAUGGUGAGAACAACGAGAUGCAAUACCGCGA
rnacentral:rRNA from 1 species